rnacentral:rRNA from 1 species
AACGAACGUUGGCGGCGUGGAUUAGGCAUGCAAGUCGAACGAAUCCCUUGAGGGUAACUUUGAGGGGGAAGUGGCGAAAGGGGCAGUAAUGUAUGGGUAAUCUACCCUGGGGACCGGGAUAGCCAUUCUAACGAGUGGGUAAUACCGGGCAAUGUAGCGAGGAGGCAUCUUUUUGCUACCAGAUGAAUUUCGCCCUGGGAGGAGCUCAUAUUGUAUUAGCUAGUUGGUGAGGUAAUGGCUCACCAAGGCAAAGAUGCAUAGCGGGUGUGAGAGCACGACCCGCGCCACUGGCACUGAGACACUGGCCAGACACCUACGGGUGGCUGCAGUCGAGGAUCUUUGGCAAUGGGCGCAAGCCUGACCAAGCGACGCCGCGUGUGCGAUGAAGGCCUUCGGGUUGUAAAGCACUGUCGAGGGGGAUGAAGCCGAAAGGUUGACAGAUCCCUGGAGGAAGCACGGGCUAAGUUCGUGC